rnacentral:ncRNA from 1 species
UCAAUGACGAUGAAAGGGAAAGUACAAUUUUCUAUGGCUUUUUAAAAGCGAGUCGGGGGUGGUGGAAGCCCGGUAAAGUUGGAAAUUGGAAAAUCACCCUCGAGUUCCAGGUCGAACCUCCUUCUUUAAGGAAAGUAGGCUUAGGCGUUUUAUUCACGUUACGAAUGUUUAAGAGGAUAGAACGAUUAUUUCGUACUAUUUAUCAGGGUGGUACCGCGGGAAAAAAACCUUCUCGUCCCUAUU